rnacentral:rRNA from 1 species
GACGAACGCUGGCGGCGUGCUUAACACAUGCAAGUCGAACGGAAAGGCCCUGCUUUUGUGGGGUUCUCGAGUGGCGAACGGGUGAGUAACACGUGAGUAACCUUCCCUUUACUUUGUGAUAACUUCAGGAAACUGGUGCUAAUACCUGAUAGGAGCUCCUGCUGCAUGGUGGGGGUUGGAAAGUUUCGGCGGUUGGGGAUGGACUCGCGGCUUAUCAGCUUGUUGGUGGGGUAGUGGCUUACCAAGGCUUUGACGGGUAGCCGGCCUGAGAGGGUGACCGGCCACAUUGGGACUGAGAUACGGCCCAGACUCCUACGGGAGGCAGCAGUGGGGAAUAUUGCACAAUGGGCGGAAGCCUGAUGAAGAAACGCCGCGUGCGGGAUGACGGCUUUCGGGUUGUAAACCGCUUUCGCCUGUGACGAAGCGGGAGUGACGGUAAUGGGUAAAGAAGCACCGGCUAACUACGUG